GACCGGAUGCCGCCGAGUCCCGUCCGCCACCGCGGCGGGAGCCGGGGACCCACCGAACCCGGGGUGAGUCCCGCCCGUCGAGCCUGAGCUCGAGGGGCGGGUAGGGCGUCUCCCCGCCCGAACCCGUCAGCUGACCCGGUAGGCGGCCACGGGAGAACGG
rnacentral:sRNA from 2 species